UACAGAGGUCCCAAGCGUUGUUCGGAUUCACUGGGCGUAAAGGGUGCGUAGGCGGUCGGGUAAGUCUGAUGUGAAAUCUCACAGCUUAACUGUGAAACUGCAUUGGAUACUAUCCGGCUUGAGGAAUGGAGGGGAGACUGGAAUACUUGGUGUAGCAGUGAAAUGCGUAGAUAUCAAGUGGAACACCGAUGGCGAAGGCAGGUCUCUGGGCCGAUACUGACGCUGAGGAGCGAAAGCGUGGGGAGCAAACAGG
rnacentral:rRNA from 1 species